UACCGAACUGUCACCGUAUGGUGUGCGUUUCAGACUUACGUCUGAAUAGGUUGCUU
rnacentral:sRNA from 1 species